AAGUUUUAUUCUAGCUUAAAUUUUUAAUUUUUGAAUUAUUUUAUAUGCUAAUUUUAGUGGGAAUUUAAUGUAUUUUAAAUAAAUAUAUUGGAGAUUUUAAUGCAAUAUUGAGGAUUAAAUAUAAAAGAAAUUUUGAUUUAGAAAUUCAUUGUAGUAUUAACAAAAUUUGUGCCAGCAGUUGCGGUUACACAAAUAAUACAAUUAAAUAUUAUAGGUUAAUAAUUAAUUUGUUUUUGUUUAUAGUAUUAAUUUAAAAUUGUUAGGUGAAAUUAUUAAUUUUAAUUUAAGCUAUAAAAUAGAAAUUGAAGUUAUGAAAUUUUUGUUAUAAACUAGGAUUAGAUACCCUAUUAUUAAAAAUUUAAAUUUGAAAUACCAGAUUAGUAAUAGUUAUGUUCUUGAAACUCAAAGAAUUUGGCGGUAUUUUAGUCUAUUCAGAGGAACCUGUUCUGUAAUUGAUAAUCCACGAUUAAUUAAACUUAUUUUAUUGGUUUGUAUAUCGUCGUAGUUUGAAUGUUUUAUAAGAAUAAUUAAUAUUCAAGAUUUAUAAUAAUAAAGAAAAUCAGAUCAAGAUACAGCGUAUAAAUAAGUAGAAAUGGGUUACAAUAAAAUUAUUUACAUGGUUAUUAUAAUUAACAUUAUAAUAUAAAGUGGAUUUGAAAGUAAUAUGAUUAAGUUAAAUUAUAUGAUUUUAGCUCUAAAAUAUGUACAUAUCGCCCGUCGCUCCCAUUAUAAGGUGGGAUAAGUCGUAACAGAGUAGGCGUACUGGAAAGUGUGCCUGGUAAGAC
rnacentral:ncRNA from 1 species